GUUCUUCAGAAUGUGAUAAGGAGCCAGAAGACAGCAUAUAAACUCAGGUUUGUUUACUUCUGAUGGGUAAAUUAGACAUUAAUGGACAUCUUUGGGGACCCUGUGGUCCAGAUUGUCUCCUUUGACUUUGGCAGUGACAUCAGUUCCUUGGCCUUGAAUCAGGGAGCUGAUAUCUUUCCUACAAUGGGGAUAUAUGACUAGAGGACAGUUGGAUAUAGGACUUAAAAAACAGCAGCACACUGAAGACAGCCAUGGACAGGACACGAAGGUGUUUCCUUUCACCUACUUCCUAGCUCUGGACUACUAUUGACUUAAGCUUUCUUGUGCUUGAUGACUAUUAUCAUAUUAACUUUUUCCAA